CCUACGGGAGGCAGCAGUGAGGAAUAUUGGUCAAUGGACGAGAGUCUGAACCAGCCAAGUAGCGUGAAGGAUGACUGCCCUAUGUGUUGUAAACUUCUUUUAUAUGGGAAUAAAACAGGGUAUGCAUACACUCUUGUAUAUACCAUAUGAAUAAGGAUCGGCUAACUCCGUGCCAGCAGCCGCGGUAAUACGGAGGAUACGAGCGUUAUCCGGAUUUAUGGGGUUUAAAGGGAGCGUAGGUGGAUUGUUAAGUCAGUUGUGAAAGUUUGCGGCUCAACCGUAAAAUUGCAGUUGAAACUGGCAGUCUUGAGUACAGUAGAGGUGGGCGGAAUUCGUGGUGUAGCGGUGAAAUGCUUAGAUAUCACGAAGAACUCCGAUUGCGAAGGCAGCUCACUGGACUGCAACUGACACUGAGGCUCGAAAGUGUGGGUAUCAAACAGGAUUAGAUACCCGUGUAGUC
rnacentral:rRNA from 1 species